rnacentral:misc_RNA from 1 species
GAAAUGCGAUAAGUAAUGUGAAUUGCAGAAUGCAGUGAAUCAUCGAAUCUUUGAACGCACAUUGCGCCCGCCAGUAUUCUGGCGGGCAUGCCUGUUCGAGCGUCAUUUCAACCAUCAAGCCCCGCGCUUGUGUUGGGGACCUGCGGCUGCCGCAGGCCCUGAAAACCAGUGGCGGGCUCGCUGUCACACCGGGCGUAGUAGAUUUUAUCUCGCUCAGGGCGUGCUGCGGGUUCCGGCCGUUAAAAAGCCUUUUUUACCCAAGGUUGACCUCGGAUCAGGUAGGAAGACCCGCUGAACUUAAGC